rnacentral:rRNA from 1 species
AGUGAACGCUGGCGGUAGGCCUAACACAUGCAAGUCGAACGGCAGCACAGUAAGAGCUUGCUCGUACGGGUGGCGAGGGGCGGACGGGUGAGGAAUACAUCGGAAUCUACUUUUUCGUGGGGGAUAACGUAGGGAAACUAACGCUAAUACCGCAUACGACCUACGGGUGAAAGCAGGGGAUCUUCGGACCUUGCGCGAUUGAAUGAGCCGAUGUCGGAUUAGCUAGUUGGCGGGGUAAAGGCCCACCAAGGCGACGAUGCGUAGCUGGUCUGAGAGGAUGAUCAGCCACACUGGAACUGGGACACGGUCCCGACUCCUACGGGAGGCAGCAGUGGGGAAUAUUAGACAAUGGGCGCAAGCCUGAUCCAGCCGUACCGCGUGGGUGAAGAAGGCCUUCGGGUUGUAAAGCCCUUUUCUUGGGGACGAAAAGCAGCAGGUUAAUACCCCGCUGUUCUGACGGUACCCAAAGAAUAAGCACCGGCUAACUUCGUG